rnacentral:rRNA from 1 species
UGGGUGACCUGCCCUCAGCUCUGGGAUAAGCCCGAGAAAUUGGGUCUAAUACCGGAUAUGACCUUUCCUCGCAUGGGGUUUGGUGGAAAGUUUUUUCGGCUGGGGAUGGGCCCGCGGCCUAUCAGCUUGUUGGUGGGGUGAUGGCCUACCAAGGCGACGACGGGUAGCCGGCCUGAGAGGGCGACCGGCCACACUGGGACUGAGACACGGCCCAGACUCCUACGGGA